rnacentral:lncRNA from 1 species
CCUACUCUUAGUGAGUUUAUAUUUUAAGAAGAAGAGGCAGACAAGCAAAGAAAAUUCUAAAUAAACUAGAUCAUCUCAGAUAAUGAUGAGUGCUAUAAAGGCAACAAAACAGUAAUACAAUAGAGAGUACAGAUGGGGAGUGCCUUUGGUUGGGUGGUCAGAGAAAGACUUUCAGAAGAGGUAACAUUUGAUUCUAGAUCUUCCUGGUGAAAAGGAGCCCUGCCAAGAUUAGGAGAAGAGCAUCCCAACAAAGACAACAGGCCUGAGCCAGGCAGAGGCCAGAUGUUACAGGAAUGGAAAGACCAGCAUGGCUGGAGUGCAAAAAACACUAGGGGAGGUGGAGGGAGGUGGCAUGAGAAGAACCUGUAGAAAUGGAAAACAGCCAGACCAGGAAAGGCCACGUGAGGCAAGAACGUGGCCAUCUACAACCCAAGGAGAGAAUCCUCAUCAGACACCAACCCUGUCGGCACCUUGAUCUUGGACUUCGCAGCCUCCAGAACUAUGAGGAAGCUGAGACUCAGA